GCCAGCAGCCGCGGUUAAACCAAGAUGAUCAAACUAUAUAUCUACGGUGAAAAAAUAGUUAAACUUAAUAAAGUUUGUUAAACAUUUACAGAAGAGUAAAAUCUGAAUAUAGAUAGAAAAUCCCACCUAGACUUACAUGUUGAAGCUAUGAAAACCUUGAGGGAAACUGGGAUUAGAUACCCCAUUAUUCUUGGACAUAAAAUAAUUAUGAUUUACCCGAGUACUAUGAAUUAACAAUUUAAAACUUAAAGGGCUUGGCGGUGUUUUAGACCUCUUAGGGGAACCUGUCUCGUAAUCGACAGUCCACGUAAAACCUAACCUUUUUUUGCAGUCAAUUUGUAUACCGUCGUCGUCAGGUAACUUUUUAGAAGAAAGAAGUUAGCAAUCAAAUGAUAAUAGAUUUAUACGUCAGAUCAAGGUGCAGUUAAUAAAAAGGAGAGGAUGGGUUACAAUUAUGCAAUUAUAACUACGAAGAAAUCCCUUGAAACAGGAUUAUGAAGGAGGACUUGAAAGUAAGAUAUAAUAUAUAAGCAUUCUGAAUCAGGCUCUGAAACGUGCACACAUCGCCCGCCACUC
rnacentral:rRNA from 1 species